rnacentral:rRNA from 1 species
AUUGAACGCUGGCGGCAUGCUUUACACAUGCAAGUCGAACGGUAACAGGGUGCUUGCACCGCUGACGAGUGGCGAACGGGUGAGUAAUGUAUCGGAACGUACCGUGUAAUGGGGGAUAACGCAUCGAAAGGUGUGCUAAUACCGCAUACGCCCUGAGGGGGAAAGUGGGGGAUCGCAAGACCUCACGUUAUACGAGCGGCCGAUAUCUGAUUAGCUAGUUGGUGAGGUAAAGGCUCACCAAGGCGACGAUCAGUAGCGUGUCUGAGAGGAUGAUCCGCCACACUGGAACUGAGACACGGUCCAGACUCCUACGGGAGUCAGCAGUGGGGAAUUUUGGACAAUGGGGGCAACCCUGAUCCAGCCAUGCCGCGUGAGUGAAGAAGGCCUUCGGGUUGUAAAGCUCUUUUGUUUGGGAGCAAAUACUUUGGGUUAAUACCCUGAGGUGUUGAGAGUACCAAAAGAAUAAGCACCGGCUAACUACGUGCCAGCCGCCGCCGUAAUAC